GACGAACGCUGGCGGCGUGCCUAAUACAUGCAAGUUGAACGCUUCUUUCUUAUCGAACUUCGGUUCACCAAGAAAGAGGAGUAGCGAACGGGUGAGUAACACGUGGGUAACCUGCCCAUCAGCGGGGGAUAACACUUGGAAACAGGUGCUAAUACCGCAUAAUGCUUUUUCUCACAUGAGAGAAAGCUGAAAGGCGCUUUUGCGUCACUGAUGGAUGGACCCGCGGUGCAUUAGCUAGUUGGUAGGGUAACGGCCUACCAAGGCAACGAUGCAUAGCCGACCUGAGAGGGUGAUCGGCCACACUGGGACUGAGACACGGCCCAGACUCCUACGGGAGGCAGCAGUAGGGAAUCUUCGGCAAUGGACGAAAGUCUGACCGAGCAACGCCGCGUGAGUGAAGAAGGUUUUCGGAUCGUAAAACUCUGUUGUUAGAGAAGAACAAGGAUGAGAAGAGAAUGUUCAUCCCGG
rnacentral:rRNA from 1 species